GAGUAAUGUCUGGGAAACUGCCUGAUGGAGGGGGAUAACUACUGGAAACGGUAGCUAAUACCGCAUAACGUCGCAAGACCAAAGAGGGGGACCUUCGGGCCUCUUGCCAUCGGAUGUGCCCAGAUGGGAUUAGCUAGUAGGUGGGGUAACGGCUCACCUAGGCGACGAUCCCUAGCUGGUCUGAGAGGAUGACCAGCCACACUGGAACUGAGACACGGUCCAGACUCCUACGGGAGGCAGCAGUGGGGAAUAUUGCACAAUGGGCGCAAGCCUGAUGCAGCCAUGCCGCGUGUAUGAAGAAGGCCUUCGGGUUGUAAAGUACUUUCAGCGGGGAGGAAGGGAGUAAAGUUAAUACCUUUGCUCAUUGACGUUACCCGCAGAA
rnacentral:rRNA from 1 species